CGGACGGGUGAGUAACGCGUGAGAAUCUGCCCUCAGGACUGGGGACAACAGCUGGAAACGGCUGCUAAUACCCGAUGUGCCGAGAGGUGAAACAUUUAUGGCCUGAGGAUGAGCUCGCGUCUGAUUAGCUAGUUGGUGAGGUAAAAGCCUCACCACGGCGACGAUCAGUAGCUGGUCUGAGAGGAUGAUCAGCCACACUGGGACUGAGACACGGCCCAGACUCCUACGGGAGGCAGCAGUGGGGAAUUUUCCGCAAUGGGCGCAAGCCUGACGGAGCAAGACCGCGUGUGGGAGGACGGCCUAUUGGUUGUAAACCGCUUUUGAUAGGGAAGAAGUUCUGACGGUACCUAUGGAAUCAGCAUCGGCUAACUCCGUGCCAGCAGCCGCGGUAAUACGGAGGAUGCAAGCGUUAUCCGGAAUUAUUGGGCGUAAAGCGUCCGUAGGUGGUUGUUCAAGUCUGCUGUUAAAGCGUGGGGCUUAACCGCAUACCAGCAGUGGAAACUGGGCAACUAGAGUGCGGUAGGGGUCAGGGGAAUUCCCAGUGUAGCGGUGAAAUGCGUAGAUAUUGGGAAGA
rnacentral:rRNA from 1 species